rnacentral:lncRNA from 1 species
GGCUACUUCUGCGAAUGAAUCUAGCUAGUUAUAGCUAUUGGUACUAAACUUGUGUGCGUGUGUUAUCUUUGGUAGCUAAUUUUUGCCGUGUGCAACUACUGAACCUGGUGUCCUGCUGCUAUUGAACUGUUUUGAUGCAAAUGUCGCUGAUGAACAUACUUUGUGUAGAAAAAGCUACAAAAAAUCACUUUUUCUGGUUGUAAAAAUUUCUAAACUUGCUCUGGUCUAGCAGUUCAACAAAUAUUGAUGUUUGGUUAAUAUUUUUUAUGAUCCAUUUGGCAGAAAAGAUUCAUUUGAUUUCUGAAGCUUAUAUACAACACUUCUGUCAUAAAAUUGUUUGGACUGAUAGCUCAACUUCCCUUAACAUUGGUAAGAGAAAAGAUCAUUCGACUUCAAAUUUUUCUGGACUGAUAGCUCAACUUCUUUCGUACAAAAGGUUCAGAAAGUUCUGUACCUGAAAAUGCAGAUAUUUGGAGUACGCGAAUAUAUAUAUAUGUAUUUCUGAAUUUUGCUCUUGUGUAACAGCUCAACAUGUAUUAUGUCAUCAAUUCAUAAUGAAAAGGCGGGAACAGUUCAAUACGUGUGUAUCUGGCUGCAGCCAUCGAGUUCGUUUGCAUCUUUGAUUUCAGAGGUUCAACUAAAUUUUUCCUCAAAGUUGGACCAUUUCUGUAUUGAUCUUUGAUCUUUGUUUAAUAACAUUACAAUCGCACAAAAUAGGCAUUUUUUCUAUUUCUUGAUGAAAAUGUUCCAGUAUCAUGUAUUGUUUGUAAACGUUCAUUUACCUAGGACAAAAACAGAUGCAAAGGUGCUUUUUCCCUAUUAAUGUGUGAGCCAAAACUGAAUUAUGUGGGGUUAAAUUUAAGCUGAAUGAGAAGUAGUUUCAGGUUAGGUUGCUUCACAGGGUGCAUAGCAUCGUGUGAAACUAUGGAAGUAGAACAAGUAAUUAUUAAUCUUGGUUGGGCAUGUAAAUGAUUUCCCCCUGUGUAAUUAUGUGUACCUUUUCCUUGUUAGUGUUUGUGUUGGUGACUGUAAGUGGAAAGAGCUAUGGAACUGACCCCCACGGGCAACUUUCCGUAAAAGCAUUGCACUUGUUUUUCCCUUUCCAGGUUUACAUUACCUUUUUUCCUUAUAACUUACAGUAACUCAUCUAUCCUUCCUUGUAGAUGGAGAUGCGUGUAUGUAUACAUGAAUUCUGAAAACAAGCUUCAGUACAAGAAAAAUGGGUCGUUCAGUUCAGUUCUGAAUUAUAGGUGUGUAAACACAUCCUGCUUACACAGUAAAUUGUAGUUUACUAAGGAAAAGAGUUAUGCGUAUUCACCAAUCCAAGUAGUUGUCUAAAUGGAAGUUUGGUAGCUGUCGAAAUAAUUGUCUAAACGACAGUCUGAACAUUCUUGCUGCUAAAUAUCUCUCCUCUCUCAAAUUUGUUCAAAUUUGUUGCUUGUUCUUGUUGUUGCCCUGAGUGCCCUCAAGUUGUUUGUUGUUAUUCCCAUGAGAAACCUUUUCUGGAUGGAAAGUAGCAUAUAUUCUAUUCUAUUCUUGCAAAAGCUUCAUUCCUGUGCUGUUUUGAAGUUACUUGGCAUAAAAAUUACUAUAUAUGCUAUUGUAAAAGACUAGAUUUCUUCUAAAUGUGAAGUUUAAGCUCUUGGGAUUUGCUCUUCUAAUUUUUUUAUCAAUGCAUGUUCAUGAGCAGUUCAAAACCUAAUAUUUUUAUUGACAAUUUGAACUUGCAACCUUACUCUCUUGUACUAUUCUAAAAAAAUUAUACUCGUGCAGGUACUUGAAGGGUGCAGACUUGGCAGCGGAGUGGUUUGUUCAACAACAGUACAAUGAUAGAAAGAACAUCAAUUCAAAAAAAUAUACAGGAGGUUUGGGAGCCAAACAACUGGUAUUUUGUUGUGUUUUAAUUUUUUGGGUGCAUGAUUGAGCAAAGAGAGAAAAAUAAUGUAUGAUAUAUAUACUGUUGUUGUAGGAGGUUCAAAGAUUGUCAUGGAGCAAGUUCAAGAGUUUGGUUUCAUGUGAAAAAUGUGGUUUUUUGGUCAAGAGUUUGCAUGAUUGAUAGCCAUCACUGGCAGCCGGCGAGUAAUUCAAGCCCGCAUGCGCGAGCCGCCCAUCGUCUUCCACACGUGAUCCUGUUGCUUGAUGAUGCUUGACAUGAACUGAACUAGCUGGAUGGAAUUAUUUUUCUGCAAUGUAAUGUAAAUGAAUAUGGUAAACAAACUGGGAAACCAGAUUGUUUUAGAGCUGGAGUUUGUGCUCCAGUUGAGUUCCAGCAGAUUGUGGCUGCUGGUUGUUUCAAGUGAAGGUGGUCGGGCAUUACUUGUGUAGGACUGAGUGAAUCUUGUAUGUAAAGGAAACUUGAUCAAAUAGUCGUCAGUAUUAAGAUUUAAAACUAGAUUUUGAUCCAUUCUCUUGUGAUUUUAGGCUGAACUCCAAUACUUGCAUCCGCCACCACAAUGCCGACGUGUUCCCUCAGUCCUCUCUCGACCAACCCAACAGUACAGGUUCUCCGGUGCACCAAGUAUUGCCUGCAGUGAUGCCUGCAUCAUGGCCCAUUGAGGAGAUCUUGUAUAUUCCACAUAGAAGAUAUAUUGUUUGUUCAUGAAUAUUCUCGCCAGGUAGGAAGUUUUGGAGAGGAAAACAUAAGUUUUUAAAAGAAGGAAGGUAAAAAUGUAAGUCCGUUCAACUAUAUAAACCAUAAAAGUACGAUGGUGAUGACAUUGACAAUAAGGAUAAGGAUGAGAAAGAAAAUUAAAAACUAAAACUAAAAGAACAUCGAGUGAUUAUUUUUUGAGAAGUACAAACCUCUAGUACCAUAAGUACCAUAAAUUAAAAAUUAAGAAUUGCCUAAGUUCUGACUCAAGGGGACAAAUUUGCAAAAAAAAUCAUAGCAGUAAAGGUUCGAAGGAAAAAAGCAACUUAACAAAUGGAAAAAACGACAAUGGAUUUAUAUUAUGUUAAUCAUCGGUGUGCUCUUGUUUGUCAGUUCAUGUGUGCUCUUGUUAUCAGGUCGUGUGCCAACUUGUUAUCAAUUUUGUGUGUGUGUGAGUUGGUAAACCAAGUGUAGCUGCUGCAGAAAAAAGGCAUGGGAUGUGCUGCCCUCAGUUCUCUCUCGACAAAUCCAGCAAUGCGGGUUCUCUGGUGCGCCAAGUAUUGCCGGCGGCGAUGCUUGCAUCAUGGACCAUUGAGUAGAUGCAAUUUUCCUGGUUUUCACAGACAACAUGGAUCUUAGUUCAGCUACAGAAACCACGCAGGUUCAGUGAUAAUGGUACCAUAAGUUCGGACAAGAAAACAAAUAAGAACUAAAACAGAAAAUUUUAAAUUCUACAAGUUCAAGUGCUCAUCCACACAUGAUAAUUCAAGUUGGUAAAAGUUUAAAAUGGUAAAAAGUUCAAGUUGGAAAACAAGAGAAAUCUAGAACAUUCAUUACAAAAAAAUUUACUUAUGAGAAAACAUGCAAAAAAAAUUUGGCAAAGAAAUAACAUUCAGUUCAACAAUAAAAACCAUGCAAGUUCGGGGCUAGGAUACAGUACACAGUUGAAAACUUAUGAGAAAAAAUUUACCCAAAAAAUAGAGCAAAAUCUAGUUAGUGAAAACACGCUUAGUACAAACCCGUGUAAACUUCAGUACAAAUUUACUUUUUUGGAACCAUUCAAAACUACUGUACAAAAAAUAGCUCAGUACAAACAUACACGUAUAUCAAUACGACUACUCUGUUUUUCAGAUGAGAAAACAGCAGGAUCCAUCAUGCUGUAUUCAAAAUUACUCUUAAACGGUUGUGAAGUAAAGAAAACGUCCAACAUGACUAAGUUUCGCAUUUUUGAUAGCUAUCCAACAGUAUAUUAUUUGCCCCACUUCGAAAAACUUUUUAAAAAAUCGUGUUCGAAACCAAUUUUAACCGUAUUUGAAUUUGUAUAUAAACUGUAAGGAAUUAGAAAAAACUUUCUAUACGCAAAAGUUGCGCAUUUUCCAUAGCUUUCCAACACCGUAUCAUUUGCGUCAAUCCGACAAACUGUUUGCAAAAACAAUUGAAAAAAUGUUUCGCCCAGAAUUUCACCGUUUUUCAAAUUACUUUUAAAUCAUAUACAAUUUGAAGAAAUAGUAGAUAUAUGGAAGAUGUAGAUAUAUAGCUAUCCAACGCCAUCUCAUUUGCUCAAUUCCGACAAACCGUUUGAAAAUUAAGUCCAAAAUACGAUUCGCGUUUUCGGUUUUGAAAAAACGGUUUUUUCAAAACUGCUCUUAAAUCAUAUUUUUUUUGCAAAAACAAAUUAUAAGAUCGUAAUAUGGAUGUCAGGAGCUUUCCAAGGAUAUAUUACACGCCCCAUUUCGACAAAAAAAUUGCAAAAAAAUUUGAACUAAAGAAGGCGAUUUUUAACAGCAACACAAAGCAUUAGUUCAACCGCUCGAAUUUCAUCAGUUCAACCGCUUGAAUUCAUCAGUUCAAGUAGGGUAACAGAACAAUAUUCUGUUACGCGUAACAGUAUAGCCCAGAUGUAUAUAUAUAGGGGGAUGGGUAUCUUUUGCACUAAGUGAAUGUGAUCGGACCCCAAUCCCAUCUGUGCUUAUCUCUCCUAUUCUCUCUAAAUCUUCAUAUGCAUUCUAUUGAGACAUGUCGAUUAUCUUUACUUUGUCUUUGCCAGUCGAAGAUUAAGAGACAAACAUUUAAAAAGGCUUUUAUUACACUUAUCCUUUUGCUUGAAUCCAGAGAAGUCGGAACGACCACCCGACAAACCAAGCACGUGUGGGGUCGUGGCACAACAUUUAAGUUGUUACAUGCGUGCCACGUGGUGCUCAGUGAACCGCCAGGGGUAGCUAAGUAAUUACACAGCGUCAUCCCCUUCCUUAUAAAUACCCAUCUCCCUACGGUCAUUAAAACUUACUCCCCUCGCUGUCUCGCUCAAACCCUAGCGUAGUCGCUAGCUUCCGUCGUCGCCGAAGAUGAAGUGCUUCGCUGCCGUGGCUUCUCUGUCAUCAUCGUCACACCGGUCGCGGUCUUCUUCCGUCCGCCGCCACCAUAGGUGUCUUCCUCCGCCUAGUUAGGGUGCGGGAUAUUGGACUAUUCGGCCUCCUUCCACGACUCAUCAAGCAGUUCGUGUCUAUUCUUGAGCGGUAAUUAAAAGUCUAUUUUACUACACGUUUGAUCCGUUAAAACUUUCUAUAUUUUCAUCAAGUUGUUUCUUCACUUCCAAAUCUGGAUCUUCCAUACUAUAACAUCUCAUAACCAGCAAGUACUUUCACUUAUGCUUCACAACUAGUUAGAUUCCUCCCUUGUACUUAUUCAUGGAUUCGCACAAAUCUAGAACCAACUCAUAUAAAUAAGUGAAUGUCUUCGCGCUAUGGGGUCAAUGUCUUCAAACUGAUUUAUCUUCAAAAUCCUCUGAGAAUGCAUAUGUCCCCUUCACCUUCCCUCUCAUCUCUAAUGCUGUCACAGGUACAUGUCCGUGGGAGAGUCCCUUAGUUCUCAUAGUCUGCAUUCAUCUACAGAAUUCUUAUGGCAUCAUAUUGAAUCACCUAAAGCCAGUUCUUGUCUGACAAGUAGAGCGAAGCCUAACACCAUUGUGAUGCCUUUUAGUCUGAAGCCCAUGGCCAGUGGCAAAUCUGCAAAGAAAGGCGGCAGACAACAUUGUGACAAUGCUGCAAAAGACCUGCCACCAGAUCUCUAUGAGUUGUACAAGUCUGACCAUGAAGAGAGCUAUAGUGAAUGUAAAUCUCGAGUCCAAUGGAUUCGCAGAUACUGGGAAGAGCAGUGGUUUCUCUAUCACUUUGUGACUGUUGAAUAUGCUGAUAAGAACGCUGCGAGGCUACCUUGGGCUGAUAUUGUAUACAGGAAACUUCACCCCAGGACCAAAGCUGAAGUAAUUGAGAGAGGCUUCUUUCCAUGCAUGGUCCAAGGACCAAGGCCAGAGAAUGCCGACCCAUCACUACUGCAGGAUGCUGCUAAUGCGACACUACGAUCAGAGACCCUUUGACGAAACUGUGUGCGAUGCGGUAAUCGCAAAUGAUGGUGUAAAACCCCCGUCAAAAAAGGUGUAAAAUGUUUGCAAUGGCGGACAAAUCAAACACGGUUUAGAUUUUACUUGCGUGUGCGAUGCUGGGCAUAUGAUUGAUCCAACAAAACUGUUUGCAUGAGGAAGAACAACAGAAACGGGCAGCCAUAUCAAUGUAUGUGCGAUAUAUGGCAUACAGUUUGCUCCGAUGAACUGUGUGCUAUUAGGGAAUGCAACAGAAACUGUCAGCCAGAUCAUGGUGUGUGUGAUAUAAAGCAUACGGUUCACUCGGACAAAUGUUUUCGGUUAGGCAAGAGAACGGAAAUGGUUCAUCUUAACAAGAUGUGUGUGAUAUGCGGCAUUUGCGAUCAGCGAAAAGAACACAAAUGAUUCGUGUAAACCAGAUGUGUGUGAUACAUAGCAAACAGCCCACUCGGAUGAACUGUUUGCGAUAAGAAAUUAUAACACAGACGAUUACUAUAGUAAGUUCGUGUGCGAUUGUGUUCGUACAAAAAACUUUGAAAAAUGCAAACUAGUUGCUUGCGUAUAAACAAUUAUCAAAAAGUAACGAGAUAGACCUUCUUUAAGCCAAUCAACAUGUGUUCAGAAAACAAGAAAUGUCAAAAAUUACAAAACAAAUACCUCGAUAGACCUUGCUGAUGUAGAUCCCUCUUUGCAGCUUUUAUUGUGCAACACAAUGGAAAUGGUUCAACUGAACAAUAUGUGUGUGAUACGUGGCAAACAGGUCCGUGAUCAGAAAUGUGUGCGAAGACCAAUAAUAACACAGACGAUUGCUGCUAAUAAGCCGUGUGGCUUGCUCUGUCUACAGAAGAAUAACAUGUGUGUGUGUGUAGGGUACUGCCGGAGAUAAGUAGUAGGCGACAAAGUGUUUUGAAGUAGCACCAAGACGGGGCAUAAAGCUGGCGAGCAGGUAUGAGCAGUGAGCUGCUACUGCACUUGUGCGGCUACUUCUGCGAAUGAAUCUAGCUAGUUAUAGCUAUUGGUACUAAACUUGUGUGCGUGUGUUAUCUUUGGUAGCUAAUUUUUGCCGUGUGCAACUACUGAACCUGGUGUCCUGCUGCUAUUGAACUGUUUUGAUGCAAAUGUCGCUGAUGAACAUACUUUGUGUAGAAAAAGCUACAAAAAAUCACUUUUUCUGGUUGUAAAAAUUUCUAAACUUGCUCUGGUCUAGCAGUUCAACAAAUAUUGAUGUUUGGUUAAUAUUUUUUAUGAUCCAUUUGGCAGAAAAGAUUCAUUUGAUUUCUGAAGCUUAUAUACAACACUUCUGUCAUAAAAU